ACCGCGCGACGGCGGGUGCCAGUGCGCAGGCGCAGAGCUCCCCUCAGGGCGGGCUCCGCCCACAGGCCGCUCCCCCCGUGCCGUGAGGCGCCGCUCUCCUCAGUAGAUCCAGCCGCCGUUAUUGGUCAUCGUCCCUUACAGGCCGCUAAAAGACGGGCACAGGGGCCUACUUCACCUGGGACGGGGCUGGUGGAGCAGCCGGCCCCAUCGCGGCUCUCCCCGCCCGUCUUCAGCGGCCCCCUGGGCUUGUGCCAAAGCGCCGGUCGUCGGGGGAGCCGUCUGGAGUUUAAAAAAGCGCGUCUCGGGCAUUUCGAGUGGAUAACGGUGUUGAAGUGCAGUCUUCAAGGGGCGCGUGCUCCCGCAGCCCCUGGAAAACAGCUGAGUUGGUAGCGUGAGCGAGGCAGGCAGUGCUCUAGGCCAAAAUGCAGCAAAGGCUUCAAAUAUUUCAGAGGAACGUCCUUCCCUGUUCUGAAGUGUUGCCCGACACUGAAGGACAAUACUGAAGCUGUUCUGGACAGCACAAGAGCCAUGAAACAGAACUUGCCUGAGGGAGGAAGAUGCCAGGAUACCAUAGUGAUAGUUAACUUAGUGUAAGUCAUUAAAGAGGUUUGAAGUAAAAGGCUCCUCUGACAGCUGCCCCAGCAAGGGGAAUGCAUCACUGAAGUCUUAGUUGAGGAUUUUUUUCCUAUGCAAGUAUUCAUCAAUGCUGUAUUUUGAAAACACUGCGAGAGUGUGUUUUGCUUAAGCCAAAGAUCAGGAUCAUCCUUUUAACUGGUCUUAGUUUUGUUCUAUUCCAAAUCAGGAGGUGUUUGAUUAUAACUAUGUGUAAGAUGAAUUCAAGGAGAAAAAUAACAGAAAUACCUCCUCUCUUCACAAUUUGAGUACAAGAAAACUUUCACUCUCGGUGAUGUUUGUAUGGUGACAGGAGGAAAUGCUGUUAGAUCAAUUUUUAGGAGCUUGUAAAAUUCAUGUAAAGAAACAGAGCUGGACGCUAACCCACCGAAUGCCGAGAACAGCCUGAUAAUUCAAGUCCUAGAAAGUGGCUAAAACCUGGUAAUAUGACAAUUCUUUGCAGGUGGUUUUGAUGACAACUCUCCACUGAACUCGGUGGAGCAGUUUGACCCAUGCAGUAAGAAAGAGAAAUACGUAGCAGAGCUUACAACUCUGAAGCAUUUGAUCCCAUAGUGAAGAGUACUGGCAACAGGAUAAGGGUGACAAAGAUGGAGCCCCCCCAGGCUGAAAGAAAAGAGCAGCCUACCCUCAUUCCCCAUGGCGAGGCAGCCCUCCAGCAGCAGCAGCAGGCAUUAACUCCCACUGCAUCUUUUAAUUUAAAACUAAACUCGGGAUUUGCGAUAGCAAAAUCAUUCAGGAUCAUGAAUUCAUUGCAUCUAAACAUGAUGCACAUCUGACCCCAAAUGUGGAAUUGUUACUGCUUCUAUUAAUGAUGUUUUUCCUGCAUGUAAAAGCCUUGAACUCACCCAUAAAAAUCAGGAACCCAAAGAGGUCUGUUAGUACAUCCUUUAAACACAAAGAAAAAAUAAUUCUGUAAGAAUCCAGUGCAGUCACUCACAUCAGAGUUUCCAGCCUGCUGAUAUGAACAGGCUUCCAGGAAGAGCAAGACCAGACUCUGGACCACUCCUGACCAGCCCCCUUGGCCGUGUAUCUCCAGUCACGACUAUGCAGCCAGCGCUUAUAAGUCACCCUGCUGCCACCCCAGCUUCUGGGAAAUGCCAUCUCCCCGUCUCAGCUCUCUUGCUGCCCCCAAGUUAGAUUUCUACCCGUUUAAGUGAGAUUUCUGACCACUACAUUAAGAUAGGAAUUUCUGUUUGGGUUUUUUACAGGACAUGCCAUAACACCAUGAUGAUGCAUGAUUAUUGUUUAUUUCAAUUUUGUAAAAUACAUCCUUUCAAAAUAAUCUUAAAUUCACACCUUAUUGUUUACAUUCAAAGAGGAUUGUGAGAAUUCAGUUGUAUUUUCACAGCUUUAAUUACUUUUAAAUAUUGCUCUUCCUCAAGGGCAUCUCAUUCCUAAUAGAGCCAUGCUUGCAGCAAAACUGUUUGGAUUAAACAUAUUGCUAAAAUAUUCAGAUGUGGACAGAGGACUUUAGAAUGCGAUGCAAGUGCUACUUGCAUGUUUUAAAAUGUAAACAAAAUAUAUGCAUGCAUUCUUAGUCCCAUCAGAAAGACUAUUUCCUCCUGUCUUGAUCACUGGCUGAGGGAAAAUGAUUUCACUGAAAUGUCCUCCUGUAGAGGGGGACGCAGUCUGGCAAAUAACCAAGCCUUCGCAGAGGGCUCUGCUGCAGGGAAGCAAGAGGUAACACUGAUCCCAGCCAGGUGCUGGAGGGAUCCCGUAUGUGUCUCCAGGAUCUCUUUUCAGAUGCAGUGGGAUCUGGGGGCAGUUAUUCCAGCGUCAGUGUUGUUAACCCUUGUAGCAUGCAUGGAUGUAGGGCAGACUGAACACAUCACAAGCAAUUUAUUCAUCAAAACCAAGGAACAUCUCUUGCUCAUGAUCUGGUAAGACUCAGGGGAGCAGUCGGAAGGUUAGUUAAAUAAAAGGACAAUUGCCACCAGCAUGAUUGAUGGCAGACUCUGAAACCAACACUCCGGCUGAAUAGCCUCUUUCUCUGUGCUCCAUCGGACUGCAGUCAAGUGCUAGCAAUAUAGAUGCAGACAGACCAGCAGCAAGAAGACUGUCAAAGCCCCGUAAAAUUAUAUGAGAUUGCUUUGCUGCUCUGAACUUUUGUGCACACUUACUUAAAAUCAGGCUGCCUUCCUGCAUCCCGACUGCACGGCGUCAGUUCUGUGUCUUACCUCCACUUGCAACAACAUUUUGACUCUGAAGUGAUUCCAUCUCAUCUAGGAGUUGGAAAAGAGCUGCAUGAGAAAAUCCAUGUCAACAGGCAAAAACAUCUACAAACGGCAGACACUGAGGAAUGGGGGGCAGGCCUGGUCGACUCAGGGAAACUCCUGAGUAAAUAAAGGUUUGUUAAAGUUAAAAUUGAGUGCUCAGAAUGCAACACUGAUUGCGCAGCUUCCCAACAACGCCAGCCCAAUGUAACUGCCCUGAACCACAAUGAGAAACAGCAGUAGUUGCGUUUACCUCAUUUGCUGCAUGUCCUCCGCUCUGUCUGCGGAGACAGCUGCAGGAUGCUCAGCCUGAUCUUGUGUGAUGGGAGCACGGCUCUGACACCAAAUGACACUGAGAUUGAUUUUACAAAAAAGUUGUCACCGAGCAAUAAGAAUUCAGCCAAUUAACUUGUUCAAGCUUAAUUAGAACAAAUGCCUGGGAAGUCCGUAACUCCAGAUUACUCCCACAGUUAAAUGGGGCUUUCUAUCUUCAUUUAGGCUGAAACUGCUUUUAAAACUAUUUUCAACAUAGCUGCAGUGCGCAUUUUUGCAAACCCAGUACUUUAUUCCAGAUGCUCCACUUAAAUUUUUUGCUGACUGCUUUUACCACAUCUGUAUUGGUUUUCUAAACCUUUUAAUGUUCUCUCGACUGGAACUGGCAGCAAAUAAAGUACUCCAAGCCAGGAGAUGAAACUUAUAUUUGUAAUUCUUUCCUGGCUCUGUCAACAAGGCUGGUGUUGCUGCCACUUCACAGCAUUUUAACGCAAUUCCUUGGAUUCCACACAGUUUCAUUUUAAAACUGUUCCAGCACAAGGGAAAAAAAAAGCCAACAGGCAGCUAUGUAAUUUCUGCCGCCUGACUUGUCUGCAGGGGUUAUCGCGUUCCACCACUGCACGCAAAAAGCCCGCGCAAAUACACAGCUGCCAUCAGUGUUCCACUGAAAUGGUGACUCCAUCUUUCAAUGGGUGCACACCCAUAUGUUAGGUGACACAGCAACCAGCGUCCUGACAGAGAUAAGACGACAUGUGCACUGGGCUGUGAUGACGAGAACACAGGUGUGGUACGGCUGCCUGCCCGGCUUCUAGGGCACCCCUGCUACCUGGCAGCAUCCCACAGGAAAAUUUCUCUGAAGCUUAUUAAAUUAAUGGUCCUGAAAAUUAAUACUCUAAGCAGGCAACUAUGCAGCUAGAGCUGUUCCUGGGAGCAGCAGCAAGGCCUAGCUCUGGUUCAAUUGCCAACGAGAAGCAUUUUUGUGUCUUCAUUUGCUUGAUGGGUAAGACUUAACUCGGGCCAAGAAUCAUAAGCAAAUUAUCUUCCCCUACACACAUUUUCCAAGAAGGUAAAGUAAAGAAAAAAGGACAGUGCAAGUCAGCACACCUAACUCAGCACAGGCUGCUGGAAGAAAGUAAUUGCAAAUCCAUGCACUGUUCUGACACAGUCUGAGUCAGAUCUCCAACUGAACGGCCGCCAGAUGAAACAAACAGCACAUUACGCCACAUGGCGAUUUUCUCCUGCUUCUCACUUUUCUGUUGUGCAAGCAGAUGCCAGCUCCCUCGCCAAAAUCUUGCUCAGUGCAGGACAGAAAGGACAGGAAUGGAAGAGCAGAGCCAAAGAGCGCUUCUUUCUUUCCCUCCUCAGUGGGCAUCCUAGCCGCUCUUGCUGCUGCCAUUUGGUUACCAAGGUCUUCCUUUUACCUCCAAGAGACUGCCAUGCCUUUCUCUUACCUCUUCUUUCCCAGCCCCUCGCACCUGGCCCUGCUUUGCCCCAGCUGGUUUUCUUGCUUUUUAAUCACUCCCCACCCGACAUGGGUUGCUGGAGCACCCAUAGGCCAGCUAACCAUACUCUGUCUUAUCUAAUUACCACCAAAGAUCUACAACUUCAUGCUCCCCCAAGAACCACCCCCUCUGCUCCACACACUCCCUUUUCCUACUUGCAAUGUCUGCACACACACACUUCAGCUUUCAGACGAAGCCCCUUUCACUGUGGCACCAACACUGCUCCAAGGCAUGCCAACACUUCCUCCACUGCAGCCUGUCAGAGGGGAAAAAAGGAAAGCUGAGGUGGGCAUACACUCGUCCUGCUCUAUAAAGCCCAUGGCCACAGAAACACACAGCACAGCCCUGCUGGAGUCAUUAGCCAGGGCACUGCUGUCUCCAGCCCCUUAAGAUUCAUCCCUCUGCAUGUGUCUGGUGCUGAUUCACAUUCACCAAUGACUGGUUUUUAGCAGAAGGUUAGUUACUGCCCUUAAUUAAAGUUAUCCUCACUGAAGAAAGGGCAAAGCUGUCAGACAAAAGGGACCGGUAAAACAAAAGACUAAUUCUGUCUUCUUUUUCAUGUUAGAAACCAAAAGACAGAGGGCAGCAUCAGACUAGUAUGCAUGCAGUCAGAGAGAGGAAAAAAGGAAAAUACAUACUUACCAGGCAUCCAGAGCUUCCAAGGGCACCUGGCCCAGUAAAACAUACCCCAGCCUCAGUCAAAAUAAACAGGAUUUGGAAACAUGCUGAAUAUUUUGCCAAAGUAGUACUUACAAAUGAAUCCCAGCAUCACAGUCUUGUCAGGAGGGACACCUGAAUGUCAAACUUCAAGGUUAAAAAACCUGAAACACAACAUUUUGAUAUGUUCCCUCAAAAGGUGGGAAUGAGGUGAAGACAGUGACAAGUUUGUGCUGUUGAGUAUUUCAAGAAAUGCAGCUGCAUUCCAAGGGAGAUGCGCGGCACAAUCACAAAUUGCACAGCCACAUCAACCCUCACCUCCAAGCAAAGCUGCACCCAGGGGCUGUGCUUGUGCGACUGUGUGCGAGCAGAGCACAGAGGAGGGUGAGACAUCUCAGCAAAACAAGAAAUUCCCCCUGCCCAGGCAGCUUGGUUUUAAUUUCAUCUUUACAAUUUGACCAACAUCUCUUUCAUCUGAAGAACUUGAAG